rnacentral:precursor_RNA from 1 species
CGGCUUGAGGACCGUAUUCAUGGAAGAGGAUCGAACAGAGAUGAAGUAGACAGUAUGUUGGAUAAAUCUGAAGAUGACAUUUAUAAGACGCUUCACAUAAAGAGAAAAUGGAUGGAAACUUAUGUCAAAGAAUCUUUCAAAGGCAGGAACCAGAAAUUAGAAAGAUUUUGCAAAAUGAACGAACGAGAGAGGAAGAACAUCAACAACAAAUUUUGUGAGCAGUAUAUAACUACAUUUCAGAAGUCUUAUAUGGAUGUACAGAAAUUCAAUGAGGAAAAAGAAAAAUCAGUGAAUAGUUGUCAAAAAGAACAACAAGCAUUGAAACUGUCCAAAUGUAGUCAGAACCAGACCCUGGAAGCAGGUAAAGAAAUGCAUGAGAAGUCCAUGGAGCUGCAUCAUUGGACUCAAACUGAAUGGUCCAUGUGUUGCCACUGAUGUGAGCCAUUUGCAAGCC